AAAGCCUCAGGGCAGUGGGAGGCUCUACCGAUCACUCUUAACUCUCAACACCCACCCUGUGUGUACCAUUAACACAUUGCUUUAGAUUAUUAUUUUUUUAUUUUUUUUAUUUUUUUUUUAGAUCAUCACAGUCAUGUCUGGCUGCUUUGUAUCUAAUGCUAAUUGAUUUUUUUUCCUGAGGUCCGCUGUGGUGACGAAUUUUGAUGGCAUUAUUAACCAGGCUGACCCACUUAUUUUUGGCUUUUGGGAUGGACAGGAGUGUGUGACAGUAUGGAAUAUAACUUAUAGACCAGUUUGAUGAGAUCCCAGGGAAUAAAGACAGAAAGAAAAGCCAUGUCUAAGCUGCAUCUUUGUGGUGCUGUUUCUGCAUUUUUUUCUCUCUCUCUCCUAAUGUCAGCACACUGUCCGUACUGUCUCCUACUCCUGUUUCAGAUCCCACAGAAUGUAUCUCAGAGAAUCUGUUUUUCAUAGGACAGGUGGGAGGAUGGGGGUGGGGUUUUUGCUAAAAGUACCAUGAUGCAUUGCCUAUCAGACAUGCCCAUACUGUGAUGAGAUGGGCUGGAGGCCUGUGAUUGUCAAGGUUAUUUUUUAAUCUACCUUGCUCUGUUCCUCCAGCCUUUCUAUUUUGUUUCAUUUCAACUUUUUUCCCCUGUGCUCUAUAUGAAGAAGAAAGACACCUACAAUGUCACUGGCUCCUUUUUUCCUUCUCUCUCUCUCUCUCUCUCUCUCUCUCUCUCUCUCUCUCUCUCUCUCUCUCUCCCCUUCUCUCUGCUCUCAUCCUUAAACUCUCAAACGCUGAUUCAGCUGCUGGUAUACAGACGAUCCUGCUGCCAUCCCCAUUCAGUACGGCCUCUCUUGGUACAACUACUGGGAGGCCAAAGAGGGUGAUUCCCCUAUAAUUAGAAGACACUCCCUGUACCACAAUUCUGACUGUGGAUGUGAGCUCCAGCACUACUGUCCCCCUCAUCACAGAAUGCUUUGCUAAAGCUGGUAAAAUGGAACCAAAUCAACUGUUCUAUGGAUUUGGUCCCCUUCAACCAGCUGUAGCUGUGCAUUGAUCACCCCAGAGUGCAGUAAGAUAGACAAAGAAGAUCUGGGAGCACACAAACACAUACUAACACUCUACAGGAUUCACCUUACAACUAUAUACCAUAUCAGACAGGAUCUGAGCAUCAUAUGGAUUUCCUGAUCCAGCUAGAACACCAACCUGAUGCAUUUCACCCCACACUUUAUGAUCUCUAAUAACAUGAUUAAAUACUGUGAGGUUACUAAAACCCAGGUGAACAUUAGCCAUGUCAUGCUGUUCAACUCUUUAUGACUGAUAAUAUCUGAUUAUGAAUCCAGUCCUGACUGCAGUCAGUGGAAUAGGGGUUUGCUGAGUUUUAUGGCUGCCCAUUGAUUUCUUGUCUUGCUGGUGAAAGAGAGAGAUGUGGAGGGACAGGACAGGAGAGAGGAAUGCACGUCAGGCUGCUGAAUAAGUAAAGCAAUCGUUCCUUUUUUCCUGUUUUUUUUUUUCCCUUCACAUUCGUCGUGAUCCUUAAUGCUUGUUUCUGAUCAAUAAAAGCUCAUCCUGAGGUCCAUAAAUGCUAAAGUGGGUGUUUUUUUUUUAAUGCCAGCUUCUUGGUGGAAGGAGGAAGGUCAAAGUGAAGGGAAAUUGUGAGGAAGAAAAGGAAAAGAAGGGAAGAUGGAUGUUUGUAUGGAGGACAGGAGCUGGCAGAUGACAUGACAGUGCUUUUGAAUAGUGAAAAAGAGAAUGGGUAACAUGAUGCCUCACACUAUCCUAUAUUCUAGCAUAGGCUUGUUACAGGAAUUGAAUAUUAGAUACAUUUCUAGUAUUCAAAUAACUAAUUAAAACAGCACCAACCAAAUAUCAAGCAAAAUUCAACUUCUAAUCCUUAUUAUUAUUGAAGCCUUAAGCAUUUGUAACAGUAAGGAAUUUUAAGUCAUGACAUCCCAAGGCCUCUAUUUUCACACAGCAUAAUUUGCUGGUAUAACAGCAGGACAUAAUAUAUUUAGUUGGGCAGGAACUCUCUCUCUCUCUCUCUCUCUCUCUCUCUCUCUCUCUCUCUCUCUCUCUCUCUCUCUCUCUCUCUUUCAAGUUCUGCCCAGAAAUGAAUAUGGCUAUGCAGACUAUAUUGGGCAGCAUGAACAGUUGAAAUCUGCUGGUGAAGUGGGAUUUUCAAACUUACUUUGGUCCAGAACUGCUGGAAUUUCUGACUUAUAGCUCACAACCCAGUUUUGUGGCUGUACUCUGCUUCUAUCAACCUACAUUAAUGUAAAUAGGGUUCUUCAACCAACUAUUAAAUACUACUGAAUGGAUUAUUUUAAAGUGAUAAAUAAAAACAAACAACUGAGUUGUUGCUACUAAAUGUGAAUCAAACAGGUGUCCCCUUAUUGCACAUGGAACAUCAUAUAAUGAAUAGAUUUAAAAGAAUUACAUAACUAAGAGGUGGGGGAUUAGGGAGGUGAGGGAUUAGUCAAUCUAGAACUUUGUGAAAAGGCAGCUCUGCCUCAGAGGCAGGAGGAAAUUAAUUGGUUCAAACAGCCAGUUGGUGGAGUUUACUUUUCAAAACUUUGCAUUAAUUCCCUAGCUAGUUACAGUACUGCUCUUUGUUAGCUUGGCCUAUGACUUUUGAUUUUGCCUGUAUAAAAGGGGUUCCUAUUUAUAUGAUGUUGGCAAAAAUUAUUUUCCAUUUUCUGUUAGUGGUGUUAAAUUAGAAAACUGUUCAGAAAGCUGAUGUGGCCGCACAAGGGUAUAAACAAAGAGUAUAAACAAAAAGGACUGGAACAAUGACAGAACAUAAAAUAACCAAAAAAAAUAAGGAACACCACACCUCAAUAUGUUGACUAUGCCACCCAGGUAGCAGGCCCCUGGGGUGGCGUAGUCGACAUAGGCUUAAUCUAACAGCCACAGAACUCACAGGUUCGUUACAGUUAGAAAUAGGUAUAAGACAUAAGUAGAGUACAAAACAUUUUUAUUUACAGCAUCACCAGUUCUCGCUACACACAGAAGAAAAUGAAAACAAAAAGGCACAAAAAAACACAUACAACUUACACACGUACCACACCAGACUUGGGUCAGCACUCAUAAUCACCCACGACAAGGGUCACCUGUAAUCUCCUACUCAAAAGCACACCGCAACCACCUCUGAAUAUUCAACUGACACAGCACCCCAAAAUUGAGCACAGCAGUCAGUGAAGGAUACCACCACUAGAGGAGAGGAGAAAGCGCGGAGCUCGCUGACUUCGGCUGGCCAAUUCUGAAAAAAAUAAUAAUAAUACAAACAGUAUAAACCACUAGAACACACAAACAUCCAAGGAAACACACACUCUCCAAAAUGUUCCUCCUAAAAGUAGACCACAUUAUACAAAAAUGCACAUGGUCACAAGAAGACAAACAAAAAACAUAACCAAACAACCAGGCCCGUAAGCCAAAGUAGGCCGAUGUGCUGUGUGGCGGUAAUGGGCCGUAGUUAACACACUCAACAAACAAUUGCACCUAAAUUGCAACGAUAAAGAAAAUAUUCAAAACAAAUUCAAUCACAAAAGAAAAACAAUAAUAAAGAUAACACAAGAAAAAAAGACACCAAAUACAAAUAAAAUCAAAAAUAGCACAAGCUGCGACUGCUAAGCAAACAUGUACAUUUGUACAUUGUACAUGCACACUGCAUCAACACCAUCUGAAAAACAUAACAUGGAAACUACCAUGCAGCGAGCCGAAUUACCAACCCAGCCAAGUGAUAGAGACGGUCCAAUGAUAAGCCACGGCUGGUCAAACAAACCAAAUCAUUUCCAUAGUAAAUUCUAGAAAAAUGAGUAGAUGUAGCCAAUCUGGUAGACAAAUCCGUCAGCCCAGUCCGACAGCCCACCGCAACGUCCCUCUGCGUAUAAAAACCCCUUAAAUGGUAAGUGGCAUCACACGGGGAUCCUCAUCAUGGAGGGAAAGCACCUGGAAAUGUGCUUUAAUAAAGAAAGGUACACCGCGAGGCUCCUCAGUCAACUCUCAGGCACUCACACACCACGCCGGAAUUGCAGUGACGGAAAAGACGACGCCCAGAAUGACACACUUCCAUAUAACCCGCACGUUACUUUUAUAACCUGCAUGAACAGGAUUUAAUAAGCCACACCCUGCCCCCUGACUAGCUCGUACUUAGGCAAAGUAAACCCCAUCUGCAACACUACUAAUACACUAUAAUAAGGCACAUAUGCCAUAAACUCUUUUGAUUAUUAACAUUACCUUUUUAGUUAGCUGGCAACAAUGUUAUCUAACAACUUUUUGGAUAUCUAGCAUGCUUGUUGCAUAAAUGUUUAAAUAAAGUGUAAAUCUAUGAAAUAUUGGAAUGACACACUGCCUCUAAAGUUUUUUUUUUUAAGCUCUGCCCAUGGGUUGUUAAGCAAAAAAAUUUCAUUCUGCCGCUGAGGCAGAGCUGCCUUCAUAAUGAUUGGCGAUUUUACCAGUUGAUCUGUAUAAUAGAGUGCUCAUAUAUUA
ensembl:lncRNA